rnacentral:lncRNA from 1 species
AGAAUGUGCAGGACAGUUGGCCAUCAAUUCUUUGCUGUUUAAUGGAUCUGACGGGCCUAGCUUCCCAACAACUCUUGAUCCAAAACAAACUUGGGACGCAAUGCUUGCAGCCAUCAACACUGCCCGGAAGACAAUUUCAAUAUGCUUGCAUGUUCUUUAGAUGAAACAAAAUAAAGAGGAAAGCCUGAUCAGAUUCGGAUAAGAGACAUGGCCUUCAUUGAUUUUUCUAGUCCAAAUCUUAUAUUGAUUUCUUUGUUUCUUAACUGAACUGGAUUGAUCAUUUUGAUCAUGUAGUGCAACCUUUCCACCUCAAAUUGACUUAUAGCUAUAUUAUUGGACUUCACCACCAGCAUUUAGGAUUUUACUGCAUUAUGUUCAACAGUAUGUAGAGAUCUUACAGUGUCUUUAAAACUUUGUGAGAAAUUGGACUUCCUAGCAUCCGUUCAAUGGCAGACUUCACAUUUGAUUAGAGUGGUAGAUGAUUGAGAACAACAACAAUUUGCCUAAGGCCUUAAGUCAUUAGAGCAGAAGAGUGUAGCAAUAAA